rnacentral:rRNA from 1 species
AUUGAACGCUGGCGGCAUGCCUUACACAUGCAAGUCGAACGGCAGCACGGGAGCAAUCCUGGUGGCGAGUGGCGAACGGGUGAGUAAUAUAUCGGAACGUGCCCGGUCGUGGGGAUAACGUAGCGAAAGCUACGCUAAUACCGCAUACGAUCUACGGAUGAAAGCGGGGGAUCGCAAGACCUCGCGCGAUUGGAGCGGCCGAUAUCAGAUUAGGUAGUUGGUGAGGUAAAGGCUCACCAAGCCGACGAUCUGUAGCUGGUCUGAGAGGACGACCAGCCACACUGGGACUGAGACACGGCCCAGACUCCUACGGGAGGCAGCAGUGGGGAAUUUUGGACAAUGGGCGCAAGCCUGAUCCAGCAAUGCCGCGUGCAGGAUGAAGGCCUUCGGUUGUAACGUAGCUUUUGUUACGGAACGAAACGGUAGAGCUCUAAUACAGUUUG